GCAUGGUGAUGCAUUGAUGGUGGGGCCUUCUCUCGGGGCCUGUCCUUGGGGACCCGUGUCAGAGGAGCGUGCAGCCUCCAACCGCUGCCCAGCCUCCUCGGUGGUGGGCUGUGAGCACUGAAGGGGGCUGUACAGUG
ensembl:snoRNA